GGAAUAUUGCGCAAUGGGGGAAACCCUGACGCAGCGACGCCGCGUGGGUGAGGAAGGCUUUCGGGUCGUAAAGCCCUGUCAGAUGGGAAGAAAUGCAUGAGGGUUAAUAGCUUUUGUGUUUGACGGUACCAUCAAAGGAAGCACCGGCUAACUCCGUGCCAGCAGCCGCGGUAAUACGGAGGGUGCAAGCGUUGUUCGGAAUCACUGGGCGUAAAGGGCGCGCAGGCGGCCUUGCAAGUCAGAUGUGAAAGCCCACGGCUCAACCGUGGAAGUGCAUUUGAAACUGCUUGGCUUGAGUAUCAGAGGGGAAGGUGGAAUUCCCGGUGUAGAGGUGAAAUUCGUAGAUAUCGGGAGGAAUACCGGUGGCGAAGGCGACUUUCUGGCUGAAUACUGACGCUGAGGCGCGAAAGCGUGGGGAGCAAACAGGAUUA
rnacentral:rRNA from 1 species